rnacentral:rRNA from 1 species
UACGGAGGGUGCAAGCGUUAUCCGGAUUCACUGGGUUUAAAGGGUGCGUAGGUGGGCAGGUAAGUCAGUGGUGAAAUCUCCGAGCUUAACUCGGAACUGCCGUUGAUACUAUUUGUCUUGAAUAUUGUGGAGGUAAGCGGAAUAUGUCAUGUAGCGGUGAAAUGCUUAGAUAUGACAUAGAACACCAAUUGCGAAAGGCAGCUUACUACACAACGAUUGACGCUGGAGGCACGAAAGCGUGGGGAUCAAACAGG